GGUGAGGUAACGGCCCACCAAGGCGACGAUCGGUAGCCGGACUGAGAGGUUGAACGGCCACAUUGGGACUGAGACACGGCCCAGACUCCUACGGGAGGCAGCAGUGGGGAAUAUUGCACAAUGGGGGAAACCCUGAUGCAGCGACGCCGCGUGGAGGAAGAAGGUCUUCGGAUUGUAAACUCCUGUUGUUGAGGAAGAUAAUGACGGUACUCAACAAGGAAGUGACGGCUAACUACGUGCCAGCAGCCGCGGUAAAACGUAGGUCACAAGCGUUGUCCGGAAUUACUGGGUGUAAAGGGAGCGCAGGCGGGAAGACAAGUUGGAAGUGAAAUCUAUGGGCUCAACCCAUAAACUGCUUUCAAAACUGUUUUUCUUGAGUAGUGCAGAGGUAGGCGGAAUUCCCGGUGUAGCGGUGGAAUGCGUAGAUAUCGGGAGGAACACCAGUGGCGAAGGCGGCCUACUGGGCACCAACUGACGCUGAGGCUCGAAAGUGUGGGUAGCAAACAGGAUUAGAUACCCUGGUAGUCCACACCGUAAACGAUGAUUACUAGGUGUUGGAGGAUUGACCCCUUCAGUGCCGCAGUUAACACAAUAAGUAAUCCACCUGGGGAGUACGACCGCAAGGUUGAAACUCAAAGGAAUUGACGGGGGCCCGCACAAGCAGUGGAGUAUGUGGUUUAAUUCGACGCAACGCGAAGAACCUUACCAAGUCUUGACAUCCUGCGACGAUGCUGGAAACAGUAUUUUCCUUCGGGACGCAGAGACAGGUGGUGCAUGGUUGUCGUCAGCUCGUGUCGUGAGAUGUUGGGUUAAGUCCCGCAACGAGCGCAACCCUUACUGUCAGUUACUACGCAAGAGGACUCUGGCAGGACUGCCGUUGACAAAACGGAGGAAGGUGGGGAUGACGUCAAAUCAUCAUGCCCUUUAUGACUUGGGCUACACACGUACUACAAUGGCGUUAAACAAAGAGAAGCAAGACCGCGAGGUGGAGCAAAACUCAGAAACAACGUCCCAGUUCGGACUGCAGGCUGCAACUCGCCUGCACGAAGUCGGAAUUGCUAGUAAUCGUGGAUCAGCAUGCCACGGUGAAUACGUUCCCGGGCCUUGUACACACCGCCCGUCACACCAUGAGAGCCGGGGGGACCCGAAGUCGGUAGUCUAACCGCAAGGAGGACGCCGCCGAAGGUAAAACUGGUGAUUGGGGUGAAGUCGUAACAAGGUAG
rnacentral:rRNA from 1 species